GGAGAGAGUUUGAUCCUGGCUCAGGAUGAACGCUAGCGGCAGGCCUAAUACAUGCAAGUCAAGGGGGCCAGCAAUGGUCACCGGCGCACGGGUGCGUAACACGUACACAACAUACCUUUAAGUGGGGGAUAGCAUUGGGAAACUGGUGGUAAUACCCCAUAAGAUUGCGGAGCGGCAUCACUCAGCAAUUAAAGUUACGACGCUUAAAGAUUGGUGUGCGUCCGAUUAGCUAGUUGGCGGGGUAACGGCCCACCAAGGGGACGAUCGGUAGGGGGUGUGAGAGCAUGACCCCCCACAUGGGUACUGAGACACGGACCCAACUCCUACGGGAGGCAGCAGUAAGGAAUAUUGGACAAUGGUCGGAAGACUGAUCCAGCCAUGCCGCGUGAAGGACGAAGGCGCUCAGCGUUGUAAACUUCUUUUGGAUGGGGAUAAUAACCUUGAUUUAUCGGGGCUUGAAGGUACCAUCAGAAUGAGCACCGGCUAACUCCGUGCCAGCAGCCGCGGUAA
rnacentral:rRNA from 1 species